rnacentral:misc_RNA from 1 species
AACUAAAAAUUAUUAUAUUACAGUUUCUGUACUAUAUUG